rnacentral:miRNA from 1 species
UUUUCCUGUAGAGGAAGCAGGAG